rnacentral:rRNA from 1 species
UACAGAGACUGCAAGCGUUAUUCGGAUUCACUGGGCGUAAAGGGUGCGCAGGCGGCCAAGUGUGUGAGGCGUGAAAGCCUGGGGCUUAACUCCAGAAUUGCACCUCAAACUACAUGGCUAGAGCAUUGGAGAGGGUAGCAGAAUUCACGGUGUAGCAGUGAAAUGCGUAGAUAUCGUGAGGAAUACCAGAGGCGAAGGCGGCUACCUGGACAAUUGCUGACGCUCAGGCACGAAAGCGUGGGGAGCAAACAGG